rnacentral:rRNA from 1 species
GACGAACGCUGGCGGCGUGCUUAACACAUGCAAGUCGAACGGAAAGGCCCUGCUUUUGUGGGUUGCUCGAGUGGCGAACGGGUGAGUAACACGUGAGUAACCUGCCCUUGACUUUGGGAUAACUUCAGGAAACUGGGGCUCAUACCGGAUAUGAUCUCCUGCUGCAUGGUGGGGGUUGGAAAGUUUCGGCGGUUGUGUAUGGACUCGCGGCUUAUCCGCUUGUUGGUGGGGUAGUGGCUGACCAAGGCUUUGACGGGUAGCCGGCCUGAGAGGGUGACCGGCCACAUGGGGACUGAGAUACGGCCCAGAAGCCUACGGGAGGCAGCAGUGGGGAAUAUUGCAGAAUGGGCGGAAGCCUGAUGCAGAAACGCCGGGUGCGGGAUGACGGCCUUCGGGUUGUAAACAGCUUUCGCCGGUGACGAAGAGUGAGUGACGGUAAUGGGUAAAGAAGCAACGGCUAACUACGUG